rnacentral:rRNA from 1 species
GAUGAACGCUGGCGGCGUGCCUAAUACAUGCGAGUCGAGCGAACAGACGAGGAGCUUGCUCCUCUGACGUUAGCGGCGGACGGGUGAGUAACACGUGGAUAACCUACCUAUAAGACUGGGAUAACUUCGGGAAACCGGAGCUAAUACCGGAUAAUAUAUUGAACCGCAUGGUUCAAUAGUGAAAGACGGUUUUGCUGUCACUUAUAGAUGGAUCCGCGCCGCAUUAGCUAGUUGGUAAGGUAACGGCUUACCAAGGCAACGAUGCGUAGCCGACCUGAGAGGGUGAUCGGCCACACGGGAACUGAGACACGGUCCAGACGACAACGGGAGGCAGCAGUAGGGAAUCUUCCGCAAUGGGCGAAAGCUUGACGGAGCAACGCCGCGUGAGUGAUGAAGGUCUUCGGAUCGUAAAACUCUGUUAUUAGGGAAGAACAAAUGUGUAAGUAACUAUGCACGUCUUGACGGUACCUAAUCAGAAAGCCACGGCUAACUACGUG